rnacentral:siRNA from 1 species
CUCGCUGUGGUUCCAUGGGGG